CUUGCUGCCUGCGGGUCGGGGUUUAUGGGGCUAGGGACCGGGAGAAGUGAGGAGUAUUUCUGGGGUAAGGGGAAAAUCUUAUAAUCCCGUAAGGACUACCUGGGGCGAAGGCGUCUCACUAGAACGGGUCCGACGGUGAGGGACGAAAGCUGAGGGAUCAAACGGGAUUAGAUACCCCGGUAGUCUCAGCUGUAAACUCUGCCUGUUGGGUGUUGCACAUUGUUCGACGGUGUGCAGUGCCGAAGCGAAGGCAUUAAACAGGCCGCCUGGGGAGUACGGUCGCAAGGCUGAAACUUAAAGGAAUAGGCGGGGGAGCACAACAAGGGGUGAAGCUUGCGGUUCAAUUGGAUUCGACGCCGUGAAUCUCACCAGGGUCGACAGCAUAAUGAAGGUCAACCUGAAGGGUUUACCUA
rnacentral:rRNA from 1 species